rnacentral:rRNA from 1 species
UGCUUUCCAAGCCCGGGGCUCAACCCCGGGUCUGCAGUGGGUACGGGCAGGCUGGAGUGCAGUAGGGGAGACUGGAAUUCCUGGUGUAGCGGUGAAAUGCGCAGAUAUCAGGAGGAACACCGAUGGCGAAGGCAGGUCUCUGGGCUGUAACUGACGCUGAGGAGCGAAAGCAUGGGGAGCGAACAGGAUUAGAUACCCUGGUAGUCCAUGCCGUAAACGUUGGGCACUAGGUGUGGGGGUCAUUCCACGGUUUCCGCGCCGCAGCUAACGCAUUAAGUGCCCCGCCUGGGGAGUACGGCCGCAAGGCUAAAACUCAAAGGAAUUGACGGGGGCCCGCACAAGCGGCGGAACAUGCGGAUUAAUUCGAUGCAACGCGAAGAACCUUACCAAGGCUUGACAUGUGCCGGACCGUCCCAGAGAUGGGGCUUCCCUUCGGGGCCGGUUCACAGGUGGUGCAUGGUUGUCGUCAGCUCGUGUCGUGAGAUGUUGGGUUAAGUCCCGCAACGAGCGCAACCCUCGUUCCAUGUUGCCAGCACUUCGGGUGGGGACUCAUGGGANACUGCCGGGGUCAACUCGGAAGAAGGU